rnacentral:lncRNA from 10 species
GACGGCUGGCAAGCAGGGCACCGCGGUGCGCUGAAGCUAGAGAUUCCGAAAGGGGGUUCGGGUAGUUCGCUCCGGAGAAGUCUGAGAAGGGUGGCUCCGGUGAUCCCAGCCCUAGCUGUUUCCCAUAUUCCUUUAUCCACCUGCCUUUGAAGGAGACCAGACUCCGGCUCCGCCCGGCCCGUGCCGGGUGGUCUGCGGCCCCGAGUCCGUGACCAAGCCCUCCGAGUGAUCGGCCUGCCCUCGGGUGCACCCGCGGGUCCCAACGUGGGGGAUCCCUCCAUCCGCAAAGCCAGAGGUCUCUUUGGUCAUGAUGUAGUUGAGCUCCCUGAGGUCCUGGCUGGCUCUGGAUUGCUCCUGCUGAUCCUGCUCUGACAGCGUUUGGGGGGCUAGAAGUGAUUCAUUGGCAGAGUCUGUUAGAGUCCUCAAAGAACAGCCUUGGAAAGCACCUGAGGAAACGUCUCUAAGUUUCCCUAGAACAGGAAAAGGAUAAUGCCAAGGCCUCACUAUGGGUCGGUGGCAAAUAUGGGCCCCAACCCAGGUCAUCUGGCUUGUCUGUCUCCACCUCAUCCUGCUGCUCAAUGUUUAGUCAACAAAGAACAAGGAGUACUGAGUGCCUGCUGUGGGCUCAGGACACAGAUGGAAGAACUAGAAAGACGCAGCCCCUCACCUCAUGGAAUUCACUAGAAAGAUGUGGCCCCUGACCCCAUGGAACUCACUAGAAAGAUGUGGCCCCUGCCCCCAUGGAACUCCAUGAAACUAGGAAGACGCAGUCCCUGGCUCCAUGGAACUCGCUAGAAAGACACUGACCCUUACCCCAUGGAACUCAC